CGGGAAACCGGAGCUAAUACCGGAUAAUAUUCGAACCGCAUGGUUCGAUAGUGAAAGAUGGUUUUGCUAUCACUUAUAGAUGGACCCGCGCCGUAUAGCUAGUUGGUAAGGUAACGGCUUACCAAGGCGACGAUACGUAGCCGACCUGAGAGGGUGAUCGGCCACACUGGAACUGAGACACGGUCCAGACUCCUACGGGAGGCAGCAGCG
rnacentral:rRNA from 1 species